rnacentral:pre_miRNA from 1 species
AUACAUAUUACCUAAGGAUCUUAUUAAAAUACAGAUUAGGAUUCAAUAUUCUUGAGAUCUGUAUUUCUAACAAGCUCCCAGGUGAUGUUGAA